GACGAACGCUGGCGGCGUGCUUAACACAUGCGAGUCGAACGGAAAGGCCCUGCUUUUGUGGGGUGCUCGAGUGGCGAACGGGUGAGUAACACGUGAGUAACCUGCCCUUGACUUUGGGAUAACUUCAGGAAACUGGGGCUAAUACCGGAUAGGAGCUCCUGCUGCAUGGUGGGGGUUGGAAAGUUUCGGCGGUUGGGGCUGGACUCGCGGCUUAUCAGCUUGUUGGUGGGGUAGUGGCUUACCAAGGCUUUGACGGGUAGCCGGCCUGAGAGGGUGAGCGGCCACAUUGGGACUGAGGGACGGCCCAGGCUCCUACGGGAGGCAGCAGUGGGGAAUAUUGCACAAUGGGCGGAAGCCUGAUGCAGCAACGCCGCGUGCGGGAUGACGGCCUUCGGGUUGUAAACCGCUUUCGCCUGUGACGAAGCGUGAGUGACGGUAAUGGGUAAAGAAGCACCGGCUAACUACGUG
rnacentral:rRNA from 1 species